rnacentral:tRNA from 1 species
GGGAUUGUCCGGGAAAAUGCGGUUUCUCUGCCUUCACACGGCAGGGGUCACUGGUUCGAUCCCAGUACCGCCCACCA